GGCUUGUUUCUGGACCUUCCUGGGCUGCCGCUUUUCCGGUGGUUUGCCCGAGUUUGGUAUCCUAGAUCCUCUUCUUUCGGGAGGACUGGCUGUUGUAAAUCCGUUCGGCCUAUUUAUGUUUUUGAUCCCUCCGGGACGAAAACUGUUAGCAGGGGAUGCGGUUAGUCUCUUUGCUCCCUCCGUGAACAAAGGCGAUACACACCCGGCAAAGGUCGCUACGGCGACACGGAUGCCUAACAAUCAAAAAUAUCUCCUAAAUGCUAACAGCAUAUUUUAUUCCAUACAGCUUUGUUUUCCCUUAACAAAUGGGGAUAAUCAUCCGUUUACAACGAAAAUCCUCUCGUACAGGGGUCGCAUGUAGGCAGGUACGACCCUGCCCUGCAGCCCGCGCAAGGGCUUUUGCCCGGCACCCAGUGCCGGAUUAAUUACAUACGAGGCCCUAGGCACUAGAAUUCUUACGGCCCUUAUUACGACAAAAU
rnacentral:lncRNA from 1 species